GACGAACGCUGGCGGCGUGCUUAACACAUGCAAGUCGAACGGAAAGGCCCUGCUUUUGCUGCGUUCUCGAUUGGCGCACGCGUGAGUAACACGUGUGUAUCCUCCCCCUGUCUUUGGGAUAACACCAGGGAACUGCGGCUCUUACCCCAUAUGAUCUCCUGCUGCAUGGUGGGCGUUGGAAAGUUUCGGCCGUUGGGUAUGGUCUCGCGGCUUAUCCGCUUGUUUGUGGGGUAGUGGUUUGCCAAGGCUUUGACUGGUAGCCGGCCUGGGAGGGUGACCGGCGACAUGGCUCCUGCGAUACGGCGCAGUCUCCUACCGGCGGCAGUAGUGGGGAGUAUUGCACAAUGGGCGGACGCCUGAUGCAGCGACGCCGCGUGCGUGAUGACGGCCUUCGGGUUGUAAACAGCUUUCGACGGAGACGAAGAGUGAGUGACGGUAAUGGGUAAAGAAGCAACGGCUAACUACGUG
rnacentral:rRNA from 1 species